UGCUUUUGAAGCCGGGCUGCCCGUUGGCCACGUCGGCCGCGGCCUCGCAGCGCCCGUGGCUGGCGGCCCCGUCGGUCCCGGGGCUCUCGGGCUCGGCCAGGAGCUUGAAGGAAGCCUCCUACUUCUCUGCUUGGCAAUGCAGGGAUGGUGGCUGCGGGGAGAUGGCUGGAGUUCCUAGGGCAGGGUUAAGCCAGAGAAGGAUUAAACUUGGAAAGAGGGGUAUCCAUACUCGGGGCAUUUGGAGAUAUUGCAGGUUUGGUUCCAGACCACUGUGAUAAAGCGAAUAUCACAUGCAGUAAAGCGAAUCACCCAAAUUUUUUGAUUUCCCAGUGCAUAUACAAGUUAUGUUUACAUUAUACUGUACUCUAUUGUGUGCAACAGCAUAAUGUCUAAAAAAUGUACAUUACAGUACCUUAAUUAAAAAUACUUUAUUGCUAAAAAAU